CGGCUCGGGUCUUGGCACGGCCCCCGGGAUGUGACGCUCUCCUCGGGGUGAGUCCGCUUUGACCCGCCCCCUGCCACUGCUCUGACUCUGGGCUCUGCGGAGACUUUUCGAUUGGCUGCACAGAAGUCCUCCACGCUAACCACUGUAUCCUGACGAUCGAUUCAUCAUUAUUAUCCGCAGUCAGAAGCUUCAUGUGCAGCGAGUCCAUGUAUGUGGCUGCUCUUCACCUUCUGCCUUUUAUGAGGACUGAGCUGAGGUACUUCUUCUGCUGCCUACUCCACAUCCUGCUCAUCCUUCUAUGGGCACAGCCACAGACUGAAUUGCAUCGUCCUGUACAAGUAG
rnacentral:lncRNA from 1 species